GAUGAACGCUGGCGGCGUGCCUAAUACAUGCAAGUCGAGCGAACAGACGAGGAGCUUGCUCCUCUGACGUUAGCGGCGGACGGGUGAGUAACACGUGGAUAACCUACCUAUAAGACUGGGAUAACUUCGGGAAACCGGAGCUAAUACCGGAUAAUAUAUUGAACCGCAUGGUGCAAUAGUGAAAGACGGUUUUGCUGUCACUUAUAGAUGGAUCCGCGCCGCAUUAGCUAGUUGGUAAGGUAACGGCUUACCAAGGCAACGAUGCGUAGCCGACCUGAGAGGGUGAUCAGCCACACUGGAACUGAGACACGGUCCAGACUCCUACGGGAGGCAGCAGUAGGGAAUCUUCCGCAAUGGGCGAAAGCCUGACGGAGCAACGCCGCGUGAGUGAUGAAGGUCUUCGGAUCGUAAAACUCUGUUAUUAGGGAAGAACAAAUGUGUAAGUAACUAUGCACGUCUUGACGGUACCUAAUCAGAAAGCCACGGCUAACUACGUG
rnacentral:rRNA from 1 species